rnacentral:misc_RNA from 1 species
UUUCCGUAGGUGAACCUGCGGAAGGAUCAUUAUCGUACAAAAUGUGAGGGGCAUUCGAGGGCUGUCGCUUACUCAAAAGUCGUGCACGCCCGAGUGUGUCUUCUUGCAUAAUAAUCCAUUUCACCCUUUGUGCAUCACCGCGUGUGCACCCUUCGGGAUCCUCUCGGAGGGGGUCUCGCGUUUUCACACAAACUCCCCUUUUAAAAGUGUAGAAUGUCCACAUUUAUGCAAUCAAUACAACUUUCAACAAUGUAUCUCUUGGCUUUCGUAUCGAUGUAU